AAUCAACGCUGGCGGCGUGCCUCAGACAUGCAAGUCGAACGAUUAAGACUUCCUUCGGGAAGUGCAUAAAGUGGCGCACGGGUGAGUAACACGUAAGUAAUCUACCCUCGAGUGGGGAAUAACAGUCGGAAACGACUGCUAAUACCGCCUAAUGCAGCGGCACCGCAAGGUGACAGUUGUUAAAGGAGCAAUCCGCUUGAGGAGGGGCUUGCGGCAGAUUAGCUAGUUGGUAAGGUAACGGCUUACCAAGGCUACGAUCUGUAUCCGGUCUAAGAGGACGGUCGGACACACUGACACUGAAUAACGGGUCAGACUCCUACGGGAGGCAGCAGUCGGGAAUUUUGGGCAAUGGGCGAAAGCCUGACCCAGCAACGCCGCGUGAAGGAUGAAGUAUUUCGGUAUGUAAACUUCGAAAGAAUAGGAAGAAUAAAUGACGGUACUAUUUAUAAGCUCCGGCUAACUACGUGCCAGCAGCCGCAGUAACAC
rnacentral:rRNA from 1 species